rnacentral:rRNA from 1 species
UCAAGCUGUUAAGGGUGUACGGUGGAUGCCUUGGGAUCGAGAGGCGAUGAAAGACGUGGAAGCCUGCGAUAAGCUCCGGGAAGCUGGCAAACAAGCAUUGAUCCGGAGAUUUCUGAAUGAGGAAACUCACCCGCAAGGGUAUCUGCACAUGAAUGCAUAGUGUGCAGAAGCGAACGUAGGGAACUGAAACAUCUAAGUACCUACAGGAAAAGAAACAGACAUGGAUUCCGUUAGUAGCGGCGAGCGAAAACGGACAAGCCCAAACCAGUCUUCGGACUGGGGUUGUGGACACCUCGAGCUGAAAAACAGUUAGCAAAACGCUCUGGAAAGUGCGGCCAUAGCGGGUGAUAGCCCCGUAUGCGAAAACUGAAAUAGGCGUUGAGAGGUGCUCCAGAGUAGCGCCGAACUCGUGGAAUUUGGCGUGAAGCUGCCGGGACCACCCGGCAAGGCUAAAUACUCCUCGAUCACCGAUAGUGAACAAGUAGGGCGAUUGAAAGGUGAAAAGUACAGCUAUUAGCUGAGUCAAAAGUACCUGAAACCGUACACUUACAACGCGGUAGGAGCACUAUGCCCCCUCGGGGGAAUGUGUGACUGCGUACCUUUUGCAUAAUGGACCGGCGAGUAUAUGUCUGCAGCAAGGCUAAGGUGUCAAGCACCGGAGCCGUAGCGAAAGCGAGUCUUAAGAUGGCGUCAAGUUGCAGGCUUAUGGCCCGAAACCUAGUGAUCUACCCGUGGGCAGAGUGAACAACCCGUAAAAGGGUUGGGAGGCUUGAAGCCGUGAACGUUGAAAAGUUCUGGCAUGACCUGCGGGGAGGAGUGAAAGUCUAAUCAAACUGGGAGAUAUCUGGUUCUCUGCGAAAUGCCUUUAGGGGCAGCCUCGAGCCACUACAUCAUAGGGGUAGAGCUACUGAAAGAGGACGUGGGGCUACCCGCCUACACGCCUCUACCAAACUCCGAAUACUAUGAUGACUAUCUCGGGAGUGAGUCCGCGAGGGAUAAUCUUCGCGGUCGAGAGGGAAACAACCUUGAUCGCCGGCUAAGGCCCCAAAACAUUGCUUAGUUCGUGAGGAAGUUAUUCUACUGAGACAGCCAGGAUGUUGGCUUAGAAGCAGCCACCAUUUAAAAAGUGCGUAAUAGCUUACUGGUCGAGUAGAGUAGCGCCGUAAAUGAUCGGGAAUAAGCAGUGUGCCGAAGCCGCGAGCUAAUUUAUUAGCGGUAGCAGAGCGUUGCACACCGCGUCGAAGGCGUACCGUGAGGAGCGCUGGAGCGUGUGCAAGUGAGAAUGCCGGUAUGAGUAACGAUAAUGCAGGUGAAAAUCCUGCACGCCGAAAGCCUAAGGUUUCCUGGGGAAGGUAAAUCCGCCCAGGGUUAGUCGGGAGCUAAGUCGAGGCCGAAAGGCGUAGACGAUGCACAGCAGGUUAAUAUUCCUGCACCGAUGUGGAGAUCGAACCAACGUGCGUUUUUUCAGGGCAGAUCCUCCGGUUAGUUGUGGAGGUUUCGCAAGAUCGAGGCCGUUUUGUUGCCGAAGUCUGCGACGAAAGAACCGAGAAAAGCGUUGGGGGCAAAGCAUUGUCCGUACUAAAACUGACACAGGUAGGCGAGGAGAGUAUCCUAAGGCGCUCGAGAGAACUGCGGUUAAGGAACUAGGCAAUCUAACCACGUAACUUCGGGAGAAGUGGUCCCUCCUCCUUCGGGAGAGGGCGCAGGAAGCAGACUGGGCGACUGUUUAUCAAAAACACAGUUCUGUGCUAACACGCAAGUGGAUGUAUACAGAAUGACGCCUGCUCGGUGCCGGAAUGUUAAGGAAGUCGGUUAGGGGUUCGCCCCAAAGCUGGCAACCGAAGCACCGGUAAACGGCGGCCGUAACUAUGACGGUCCUAAGGUAGCGAAGUUCCUUGUCGGGUAAGUUCCGACGUGCAUGAACGGCGUAACGACUUGGUCGCUGUCUCAACCGCAGACUCGGUGAAAUUGAAGUGGCGGUGAAGAUACCGCCUACCCGCAGCAAGACGGAAAGACCCCAUGCACCUUUACUAUAGCUUGGUACUGACGCCGGCUGAAAACUGCGUAGCAUAGGUGGGAGGCGUUGAUAGCUGGGUUUCGGCCCAGAAGGAGCCAACAAGUGAAAUACCACCCUGUUUGCAUUCGUCGUCUCACCCUGAUCCCGUGAAUCCGGGCAGGGAACCGUGCUAAGUGGUUAGUUUGACUGGGGCGGUCUCCUCCAAAAGAGUAACGGAGGAGUGCAAAGGCCCGCUCAGAACGGUUGGCAAUCGUUCGUCGAGCGCAUUGGUAGAAGCGGGCUUGACUGCGAGUGCUACGGCACAAGCAGAGCUGAAAGGCGGCCAAAGUGAUCCUGUGGUCCCGUGUGGAAGGGCCAUAGCUCAACGGAUAAAAGGUACGCUGGGGAUAACAGGCUGAUCGCCUCCGAGCGUCCAUAGCGGCGAGGCGGUUUGGCACCUCGAUGUCGGCCCAUCGCAUCCUGGGGCUGAAGGCGGUCCCAAGGGUUUGGCUGUUCGCCAAUUAAAGCGGUACGCGAGCUGGGUUCAG